UGAAGAAACGAAUGCAUUAACCAAGUAUCUUGAUUAUCUAAGUGUUCUUGAUCUCAAGCACAAAGAAGGAAGAAGGCGCUAGUCACUCAAAGGCACAAUCAUCACAAGAUCGCGGUAAAUCUCAUGCUUGAUUGCGGCGCAUUCGGAGCGAACACACAAUUGUCGACCUUUACACGCUUCCGGUUCAUGUUGUGGAUUAUGAAUGGGUCAAAAACUUUGUUUUGUCACAUGAUGUUAAAUUGUGUUUAGUAUGUUAGUAAGUAGCUAGAACUACUAAGUCUUUUGGUAUAUUUUGUACAAAAUCGUUCAUGGUGAACCUUAUGGUCUCGACUUUGUGGUUUUGAAAA